rfam:Schistosoma mansoni strain Puerto Rico chromosome 2, complete genome
GCACUGCCGAGGAGUCCCAUAAUAGGACGAAACGGCCUUCCACUGC